rnacentral:rRNA from 1 species
AUUGAACGCUGGCGGCAUGCCUUACACAUGCAAGUCGAACGGUAACAGGUUAAGCUGACGAGUGGCGAACGGGUGAGUAAUGUAUCGGAACGUGCCCAGUCGUGGGGGAUAACUGCCCGAAAGAGCAGCUAAUACCGCAUACGACCUGAGGGUGAAAGCGGGGGAUCGCAAGACCUCGCGCGAUUGGAGCGGCCGAUAUCAGAUUAGGUAGUUGGUGAGGUAAAGGCUCACCAAGCCGACGAUCUGUAGCUGGUCUGAGAGGACGACCAGCCACACUGGGACUGAGACACGGCCCAGACUCCUACGGGAGGCAGCAGUGGGGAAUUUUGGACAAUGGGCGCAAGCCUGAUCCAGCCAUGCCGCGUGCGGGAAGAAGGCCUUCGGGUUGUAAACCGCUUUUGUCAGGGAAGAAAAGGUUCUGGCUAAUACCUGGGACUCAUGACGGUACCUGAAGAAUAAGCACCGGCUAACUACGUG